UACGUAGGGUGCGAGCGUUAAUCGGAAUACUGGGCGUAAAGCGUGCGCAGGCGGUGAUGUAAGACAGAUGUGAAAUCCCCGGGCUCAACCUGGGAACUGCAUUUGUGACUGCAUCGCUGGAGUGCGGCAGAGGGGGAUGGAAUUCCGCGUGUAGCAGUGAAAUGCGUAGAUAUGCGGAGGAACACCGAUGGCGAAGGCAUCCCCUGGGCC
rnacentral:rRNA from 1 species